GAUGAACGCUGGCGGCGUGCCUAAUACAUGCAAGUCGAGCGAACAGACGAGGAGCUUGCUCCUCUGACGUUAGCGGCGGACGGGUGAGUAACACGUGGAUAGCCUACCUAUAAGACUGGGAUAACUUCGGGAAACCGGAGCUAAUACCGGAUAAUAUAUUGAACCGCAUGGUUCAAUAGUGAAAGACGGUUUUGCCGUCACUUAUAGAUGGAUCCGCGCCGCAUUAGCUAGUUGGUAAGGUAACGGCUUACCAAGGCAACGAUGCGUAGCCGACCUGAGAGGGUGAUCGGCCACACUGGAACUGAGACACGGUCCAGACUCCUACGGGAGGCAGCAGUAGGGAAUCUUCCGCAAUGGGCGAAAGCCUGACGGAGCAACGCCGCGUGAGUGAUGAAGGUCUUCGGAUCGUAAAACUCUGUUAUUAGGGAAGAACAAAUGUGUAAGUAACUAUGCACGUCUUGACGGUACCUAAUCAGAAAGCCACGGCUAACUACGUG
rnacentral:rRNA from 1 species